AGGGUCGGCCAGGCAAUCGCGUCGUUGUGUAUGCAACGCCGAGGAACGUCCGGGCUCCAAAGAGCAGGGCGGUGGGUAACACCCACCCGGAGUAAUCCGCGAGAUAGUGCCACAGAAAAUAAACCGCCUGGUUCGCCAGGUAAGGGUGAAAAGGUGGUGUAAGAGACCACCAGGGGUUCGGGUGACCGAAUCUGCUAGGUAAACCUCGCCCGGAGCAAGGUCAAACAGACACCCAUCAGGUUGCUCGUCUGAGUGUUGGGUAGGCCGCUAGAGGUUGCUGGUAACAGUAACCCAAGAAAGAUGAUUGCCACCGAGGUUCGCCUCGGGACAGAACCCGGCGUAUCGGCCGGCCCCUUCU
rfam:Microbacteriaceae bacterium BACL25 MAG-120322-bin65 contig00079.0_to_1_1_120322-bin65, whole genome shotgun sequence.